rnacentral:rRNA from 1 species
GGCCUGGUGGUUAUGGCACGUGGCAAACACCCGAUCCCAUCCCGAACUCGGCCGUGAAAACAUGUUGCGCUGAUGGUACUUCGUCUUAAGACGCGGGAGAGUAAGUCGCUGCCAGGCCU